GACGAACGCUGGCGGCGUGCCUAAUACAUGCAAGUUGAGCGCUGAAGGUUGGUACUUGUAUCAACUGGAUGAGCAGCGAACGGGUGAGUAACGCGUGGGGAAUCUGCCUUUGAGCGGGGGACAACAUUUGGAAACGAAUGCUAAUACCGCAUAAAAACUUUAAACACAAGUUUUAAGUUUGAAAGAUGCAAUUGCAUCACUCAAAGAUGAUCCCGCGUUGUAUUAGCUAGUUGGUGAGGUAAAGGCUCACCAAGGCGAUGAUACAUAGCCGACCUGAGAGGGUGAUCGGCCACAUUGGGACUGAGACACGGCCCAAACUCCUACGGGAGGCAGCAGUAGGGAAUCUUCGGCAAUGGACGAACGUCUGACCGAGCAACGCCGCGUGAGUGAAGAAGGUUUUCGGAUCGUAAAACUCUGUUGGUAGAGAAGAACGUUGGUGAGAGUGGAAAGCUCAUCAAGUGACGGUAACUACCCAGAAAGGGACGGCUAACUACGUG
rnacentral:rRNA from 1 species